rnacentral:rRNA from 1 species
UACAGAGGGGGCAAGCGUUGUCCGGACUGACUGGGCGUAAAGCGCACGCAGGCGGUCGCGGGCGUCGGUGCUGAAAGUCCACCGCUUAACGGUGGAUCGCGUGCCGAUACGCCGCGACUGGAGCCAUGUAGAGGUCCGUGGAAUUGCCGGUGUAGUGGUGAUAUGCGUAGAUAUCGGCAGGAACACCCAAGGGGAAGCCAACGGACUGGGCAUCGGCUGACGCUCAGGUGCGACAGCGUGGGGAGCCAACGGG